ensembl:lncRNA
CUCCGUACCUCCCACCGGGAAUUCUUAGAGAAGCUACUCAGCCUCAUCCUGUAGCUCAGAUUUUAUCGAGAAUAACAACCACUUUGGACUGAAUUUGUACCAUCAUUUAGCAAAAAUGGAUUCGUCCACAGCCCUCCUCUCUCUGUCGGCAGCACCCACUGGGCUCAGAAUCAACAAAUUUCCAGGAUUGCCAUUCAGUCCCUGUGGAUAGGAAUUCAGAGCUUCUGUUGUGCCCAAGUGUUGGGAGGUUAGCGUGAGCCACAUUCCAUGUCAUUCCCAGAGGCUUGUUGCUGUGUCCCAGACGUAAAGGAAGCUCUGGGACACGUUGGGGGAACGUCACCAGGACAGCCCAGAGCACUGAGCCCUGCCUACACUAACCUGUGUCUGCUUCCAAGUCAUCUCUCCCUCUCUCAGCAGAGGCUGGCCCUGAAAUCUCCAUCAUUGACUAAACUUUCAUUUUCACUGAACUACAACUUCAUGCUUCUUUACUGAAGAUAAGCAUGUGCCUGGUGUUUUGAUGUUUCUUGCCAUGGUAUUUGGCUGAUUCAUGGACCAAACAUGAGUAAAACCUGAUACAGAGAACGAAGUGUGAUAUCCUGUUAGAACCUGCUUUUACUGCCCUGAAUGCAUUGCCUCCUGUGGGUCUCAAUAAGUAGGUUGCCACCACCUUGGCAACGCUCUGUUUCCAAAAGUACUUGCAGUGUGAUUAGAAUAAAAAAUUACAGUUAUAAAGUAGCAACAAAAAUAAUUUGAUGGUUGGGGGUAACCCCAACAUGAGGAACUGUAUUAAAGGGUCCCAGUAUUGGGAAGGUUGAGAACCACUGCUUUGGACAACACACUGGCUAACAUUUGCCAGCAGCAGUGGGAAGCCCAAAUAUAAUAGAUCAGAAAACAAAACAGGUUCUCACUAGGGAAUCACUGAAGCUUGUUGGAAGACUCCCCAGAGGAAAACCUCACCUCCAGGUAAAUCUUAGGCUGCAGAAUGCUAGAACAUAACAUACAAAGCAGCAAUACCAGCCCUGGGAACAGAGCCUAUGACAGGACUGAAUCAAGAUCAGCCAGGACUGAACUCAGAGACACAUCACUAAGACGACAGGAAGAGAGAUUCAUGCUAAUUUUCCAGAACUGUGCAGCAUUCGUUUUAGACAUCUCCUCAAUCACAGGUACCUGAUCUCAUUCCAGGAUGCUUAACAAAGGACCUUGCUAAGUAACAAUCAUUUCCCCAAAAUGUGAAUCCUCCAUCUAUUUCCAAACUGGGCUCCUGGAGCUCUUCUUCCUGCCCACCCUGAACUCCUGUGCAAUAUACUUAGAAAUAUAUUGUCUUCCUCAUACAACAUAAAAAGUAUAAAAGUCCAUUCAUCAUCCAGUAGACCUGUCCCCAGUUGACUACAACGACGAUAAUAUCUAAGAUCCCAAAGAGCAUUAGUUUUUGUUUUGUUUUGUUUUGUUUUUGUUUUUGUUUUGUUUUGUUUUGGAGCAGUUGACUUCUACACCAUCAAACUAAGGGCUUCUUAAUGAUUCCAAGGAUUUCUAUGAAAAAUAUGUAGCCAUAUUAAUGACUGGGUCUAGGCAAUUGUAUGAGAAGGACUUAGAAAAAGAACAAACUACUUCAAAAUAACCUUCAUUAACCUAGCAUCCACUCACAGUACAAGGUUCUCCUGUGGAUGAGAAGGCACCAAUAAUGAAGGAUUCAAUGAUGUUUGAAGACAUCAGUGUUGACAACCUUGAAGAAGUAUCGCCUGUGCCAUUUUAGUAACUUAUCAAUAAAAAAUUACAAUUAGCCCACUUGGUUUGCAAAUUCCUUUCAUCCCAGCAAUUUGGAGCCAGGGGUAGAUAGAUGUCUGAGUGCUAGGCCAGUCUGCUCUACAUAGCCAUUCCCAGGCCAGCUAGGGAUACAUACUGAGAUGCUGUCUCAAAAGAAAACUAAUCAGCCCUUGCUGCUCUUGCAGAAGACCAGAGUUGAUUUCCAAGCACUUCAGUCUAGAAGUUCACAUGGUCCAUGACUCCAGAUCCAGGGUUUUCCACAGCCUCUUCUGCAACUUAAGAGUCCCUACUCCUU